GUAAUGUCAAGCUUAUACAUUCCUUGCAGUUAAGGCAACCAUCUUUCCUGAUGGUUGCUGACUGCUCAGAGGUCAUUAAUUAACUGAAAAAUCUUCUGCCAUUUAACAGGCUAAAACCCGUUUAGCCUGGUCCUAGUCAUCUAGUCAUCCGGAUCCUUUUUGCUUAGAAAGUCUUUCAACUUAUCUCCCUUUUCACAUUUUCCCAUAAGCAGCAAGAAGAACAGUCAGUCCUUUCAACACUUUGCAUGGCUAUCUCCUUAUCUGAAUUCAUUACUUACAUAUUUUUUCCAUAUAACUACAAGUGAAUUUCAUUAAGCUUUUUGCCACUACAAAAUAUACAUUCCCCCAUCACAAGUUUCUAAUAACAUGUUCCCCCCUUUCUUUGAAGCCCUCACUGGAAGUGCCCUCAAAGUCCACAUUUCUGAAGUUAAGAACCUGGCUUUGCUGCAGUUGUGGCACAGGUCACAGCUGUGGGUCAGAUUCAGUUUCUGGACUAGGAACUUCCAUAUGCCAUAAGUGUGGCCAUUAAAAAAAAAAAAAGUCCAGAUGUCUACUAAGUGUUAAAGGCAAUUUAGGUUUUUUACAUAAUCCUCAAAAACCAUUCAGUCUUUCCAUUGACCAAAUCCAAAGCCACUGCCACAUUUUUAGACAUCGUUACAGCAACAACCACUGCUAUGGGCUAAAUCACGUCUCCCCAAGUGAGUUUAUGGUCUACCCUUCCCCCAGUAUUUGUGAAUAUGACCUUAUUGUGGAAUAACCUUGGCAGAUAAUCAAGUUACGAUCUUGAGAUUGUAAUUUCCACAGCUGUGAGAUGAUAAGUUUCUAUUGUUUAAGCCAUUCAGUUUUCUGUAUCUUGUGACUACAGAUCCAGCUAAUACACCCUGCUCCCCCAUAUACUAUCACAAAUUCAGCUGCUUAAAACAACACAUAUUUCUCACCUUGCACUUUCUGUGAAGCAGAUGUCCAGGUGUAGCUUACCUGGAUCCACUCUAAGUCUGUCAUCAAGGUGUCAGCAAGGGCUGAGUUCUCAUCAGAAGCUCCACUGGGGAGGGAUCUGAUUCCCAGCUCAUGUGAUUGUGGGCAAAAUUCCAUUCCAAUCCUGCUGUAGGAAUUAAGGGUCUCAGUUUCUUGAUAGCCGUUGACCAGAGGCUGCCAUAAAUUCUGUAGUAUGUUACUCUCUCCCUAUGGCUACUCAGAACAUAGCAGCAGGUUUCUUCAAAGCCCAGCAAGGAGAGAGAAUCUCCUAAUAAGAGGUACAUUACAAUCAUCUUUAGAAUAACAGUGUACAUGUAUGUAAUAAUAUUCACCUAAUCACUCUGUCAUAUCCCAUUGGUUAGAACCAACUCAUAAACCCUAAUCACAUCCAAAGUGAGAAGAUUCUACAAGGGCAUGAAAUAUAAAACACAUUGGUAAAGGGGGAAAUAAGGCAGUAUUAUCAAAGGGUACAAAUUUUGGUUAAACAAGUCCUGAAUAGCAUAGUUUGUAUAGUCACCGAUACCAUUGUAUACUUAAAAAUUUUCUGAGAAGGUAGAUUUUAUGUUGUGUUCUUUUCACACAAAUAAAAAUGAUGUUAAUAAUAAUUAAAGAGGGUAGAAGGAAACUUUGGGAGCUUAUGAACAUGUUAACAGCAUAGACUAGUGAUGGAUUUCUGAAGAUACACUCAUCUCCAAACUUAUCAAAUUUUAUACAUUAAAUAUGCACAACUUUUUAAAGUAAAUUAUACAUUUUAAUAAACUGAUUUUUCAAAUAGUUAUCCUAGGAGUUCCUGUUGUGGCUCAGCGGGUUAAGAAUCUGAGUGUCCAUGAGGAUGUGGGUUCAAUCUCUGUUCUCGCUCAGUUGGUUAAGGAUCCAGUGUUGCCACAAGCUGUGGCAUAGGUCAAAGAUGCAGCUCAGAUCUGUCAUUGCUGUGGCUGUGACGUAGGCCAGCAGCUGCACCUCUGAUUUGACCCCUAGCUUGGGAACUUCCUUAUGCUGCAAGUGUGGCCCUAAAAAAAAGGAAAAAUAAAUAAAUAAAUAUAUAAAAUAGUUGUCCUCAGAUAACAUACUGCAAAACAGUGGUCCUGAAAGGACAUAUAUGUGUGUGUGCAUGUAUAAAUAUAUAUACAUACACAAAAUGUAUCAUGUAUUCUGUUGUUAUUAUUUCCCAAAACUGCAAUAAAAUCGCAUGGUGACAAAGGAUUCAACUUGAGAUGAUCUAUCCUUAAGAGAAAUAGCCCUAUACUGAGUUAUUAUUUUAUCAGCUAUAUUACAAUUUCCUUAGGCAAUAAGGAACAAUGAAAAUGGCCACAGUUUGUUGAUUUGUCCAAGCCAUAAUGCUGCAGACAGUAUUUUAUAUCCUGGUGCUCUUAAACAUGUCAAAAUAAAUUUUGUCCAAAGCCUGUGCGUAAGACCAGGAUAAACUAAAUACAAAUAAUUGUCAGGAGGACUGUCUUCAAUCACUUCCUCUCCUCCUUUUAAAAGUAUUAUGCGGAGUUCCCGUCGUGGCGCAGUGGUUAACGAAUCCAACUAGGAACCAUGAGGUUGCAGGUUCGGUCUCUGCCCUUGCUCAGUGGGUUAACGAUCCGGCGUUGCCGUGAGCUGUGGUGUAGGUUGCAGACGCGGCUCGGAUCCCGCGUUGCUGUGGCUCUGGCGUAGGCCGGUGGCUACAGCUCCGAUUGGACCCCUAGCCUGGGAACCUCCAUAUGCCGCGGGAGCGGCCCAAGAAAUAGCAACACAACAACAAAAGACAAAAAAAAAAAAAAGUAUUAUGCCACUAACACAUCACAUGAUCUUGGUUGCGAUUUCUUGAAUCUUUUUCUGCAUCACUUCCUCUGUUAUAAAAUUUUCCUUGCCUGGAGUUCCCAUCGUGGCACAGUGGUUAACGAAUCCGACUAGGAACCAUGAGGUUGCGGGUUCGAUCCCUGGCCUUGCUCAGUGGGUUGAGGAUCUGGUGUUGCCGUGAGCUGUGGUGUAGAUCGCAGAUGCGGCUUGGAUCCCGCGUUGCUGUGGCUCUGGCGUAAGCCAGCAGCUACUGCUCCAAUUGGACCCCUAGCCUGGGAACCUCCAUGUGCCACAGGAGGGGCCCUAGAAAAGGCAAAAAGACUAAAUAAAUAAAUAAAUAAAUAAAUAAAUAAAUAAAUAAAAUAAAAUUUUCCUUGCCUUCUUCUCAGUGUAAACCCUGGGUGGGCAUAGGAGGAUAAGAAAAGAUGUUCCAGUUGCUUUCUGUAGAUACUUUUUUUUUGUUUCUAGCAGACUCAAUGGCUAUGCUAAGGGUUACAUCACCUCUUCCAUUUGUUUGACUUCACUGAAUGGAUUGCAAUGUCUCCAAUACCUGUCUUUGCUUCCAACAUUCUAACCAAACAGAGAUCUUAAUGAGAUUCAUGGAUUCACUGAUUUGAGAGACUUCCUUAGAUGUCAUUACUUCAUUUUUCUAUCCUAUCUAUCUAGCUACUUCUUUGAUUAAGCCUCAUAAGUGUAAUAUCUGCUAGUCAUAGCAUAUUUGUGAUGUAUUUUUUCUUAUACAUCAGGCUGCCAGCUAUUAUGGAUAUAACUUCAAACAUUUCAAAUUAUGUUUGGGAACACCACUGUGAUCUGAAAUUAACUUUUUUAAGACUGUGCAAGGAAAUAAAACACUUCAAAAGCAUGAAAAUUUUAGUCUGGGUCAUGUUCCUUUCUGCCUGAACUAAUGUUUAUAUAAUAUAAAUACCUUAAUACUUUAAUAUAAAUGCUUUAAUUUCCUUAGCACAUUGCUAACUUUUCCACCACAACAUUUUUCAGCCCUGUUAUAAACUAAAGAGUCAGGGACAAAGCACCUUUUAAUUCAAGUGCCUAGAAAAGCAUCAUGAGCAAAACCAUGAGGGCUGUGGUGAGGAACAGACAGGCAGAAGGGAAAAUACUUGAAGAGGUGGCCUCUAAGUGAGUCUGCAAAUCAACAAUGCUAGCGGCCUAAACAAAUAAAAGUUCAAGAAUCAAACAGGGUGAACCAGAGGCCAAUGGUAACCUCUCUUGGCCAUGAGCUAGGUAGGAUUCACAUCCAGAUCCAUCCGAUUCCAACACUUCAGUGCCAUUUGUAAUCCACUGCUCUGCCUGAUAGAGUUAGCAGAUGGCAAGGGCAGGUAUACCUUCCAACAGUCUUUAUUUUUUUUAAAAAAAUCUUAUUAUUCCAAAUGAUAUUGCAAUAAAACACACUAACUUUAAAAUAAGGGAAGUAGGUGCUUAAGUCAUAUUUCAACAGUAAGAAACACAUUGUGUAAGUUAAUUUAAAUUACCAAGAGAAGUCUGUUUGAAGUUUAGUAAAUAAGUAGAAUCUUUUCAAACUUCUAAGCAAUGUAAACUAAAUUUCACAGUGGGUAAUAGUUACAUCAGUUAUUUUUUAAUACAUGAAGUAAGGUAAGUAACACAACAAUCAAUUAUUUCCUAGAACUCUUUCAAAGUGAAAAUAUAAAGAAACACAUCCCCUGGCUUUGUUAUCUUCAAAGAAAUAAGAAGCUCAAGAAUGAUAUUUGUGAUUUGACUAAAGUUAUGUUUUUGAACUAUUUGUGAUUUGACUAGAUAUUUUUCUGCUGUCUUAACAGGGCAGUGCAAUUUUUAUUUCUACAAAAUAAGCCUAUUGAGGUUAUAAAUCAAUUACAAAACUCCGCUAACAAAAUGAGCUAAAACUUAGAGUUAACUUCAGUUGACCCUAAUGUUUCUAAAGUCAUUAGAGUAUUUCCUGAAUCCAGUUUUCUCUUCACUGAAACAGAGAAAACUGACAGAUGUUUAUCUCCCUUAUAGUGUUAUACGUUCAUAAAAGUUGUUUGUAAGAAAUCAAUAUAUAUUAAGAAUCUACAAUGUGCUCAGUGUUUUGCUAAAUACAGCAGAAGUAAAGAGUAUACUCUGUAUUCUUCUGGAACUUAUAUGCUGUCUAAAUCAACAACAUAUGAACAAUUUAGAAAUUUUUGAUACUAGUUUCAUUAACUCUUUCUUCCUAACAAAAUAUCUCUUUUAAAAAUAUAUUGGCAUAGAAUUGACUUACAAUGUUGUAUUAGUUUCAGGGGUUCAGCAAAGUGAAACAGUUUUACAAAUAAAUUCUUAACUGUGAGGAUUCAGUAAAUAUUAGACCCAUACAUGUUUCAGAGAUAAAGAAAUAUCUUUAUAGGGGAAUUGUAUAUAAAAAAUGUUCAAACAUGGAGUUCCCAUCGUGGCCCAGUGGUUAACGAAUCUGACUAGGAACCAUGGGAUUGCAGGUUCUAUCCCUGCCCUUGCUCAGUGGGUUAACGAUCCGGCGUUGCCGUGAGCUGUGGUGUAGGUCGCAGACAGCUCAGAUCCGAGUUGCUGUGGCUCUGGCGUAGGCCGGCGGCUACAGCUCCGAUUAGACCCCUAGCCUGGGAACCUUGAUGUGCCGCGGGCGUGGCCCAAGAAAUGGCAAAAAGACAAAAAAAAAAAAAAAAAAAG
ensembl:lncRNA